CCCAGGUUGGUGUAAUGGUUAACACGGCGAUGGGAUGGGUGGGAGCGGCGCAGCUCUGGGUUCAAAUCCCAGGCCUGGGA